GGAGGGGUGAAAACGAGCGUGUGCGCAUGCGCAGUGACCGAUCUGGCAAGCGCACUGGGGGCCACGUAAGCUCUGGGGAAUUAAGUGGUCUGUCCCCCAGUACAACUGACCGCAUCGCAACUCUGCCUCUAUAUAUAUUCUGAGAACAGGAAACAGUCUUUAGGAUUUACAAAAAGCCUAUUCAAAUGCUUCUCAGUGAGAACAUGGCCCGUCUGAUAUCCUCUUGGUACUCACUACUCAUCUGAGCCACAUCUUAUGGAAGGGAACAUACAUGAGGAUUUCAAGCAAGCCACUCCAGACAGACAAGUGCUGAUGAUUGAAAAGACAUAAGGAAAAAGUUGGGAGAUACCUACAGCCAGCCUUUCAGUGACAACAAAGGAGCAACUGACAAGACAGAUUUACAUCAGGACCAACCAGACAUGUGUUGAUGGCCCAUCAAGAAAAAUCCACUCUCCCAGAGACACCUCAGAGGGGGCACAUAUGCAAUGAGGGGUACUUAAACCCCAUGUCACAGCAAGGAUGUUUCUAGUGGCUGGAAGAAAGUAUAAAAGAGAGAGUGACAUCAUCAUGUGGCCUCUCCGCUCCCACACCUCAACAGCUGUAAGACCGUCUGGAAGACAAAGACUUUGAACAGGGGGGAUUGGUCCAAGGUGAGAGGGAAUGCAGCCUGCCUGUAACCUCUGUUGGAGUGAGAGAAGCUGUUUGAUUCAAACCUUACUUAGUCUGUAGAAUUUAGACUGCAAAUUUGUUUCUUUUUCUUAUGUAACCAACUUUGAUCUCUAUGCCUGUUACUUAUAAUCACUUAAAAUCUUU